rnacentral:rRNA from 1 species
CCCGGUGAGGUUUUUAACGGCCGCAGUUAGAAGCUGUGCUAAGGUAGCGUAAUUAGUUGUCCUUUAAAUGGGGAAAGGAAUGAAUGGUUUGACGUGAGAGAGACUGUCUCUUCAGAGCUUAAAGAAAUUUUCUUCCUAGUGAAAAGCCUAGGAUUUAAUUAAAAGACGAGAAGACCCUGUCGAACUUAGAUAAGUUUAAUAGUUUUAUUAAAUGAAGGUUUAGUUGGGGCAACUUAGGAGUAUAAAAAGACUCCUUAUGGGUUUGACGAGCCAAAUAUUUUUGAAAUAAGAAAAAGCUACCGCAGGGAUAACAGCGUUAUCUUCUCUGAGAGAACAAAUUGAAGGGGAG